AGAGGGUGCAAGCGUUAAUCGGAUUUACUGGGCGUAAAGCGUGUGUAGGUGGCUCGCUAAGUCGGUUGUGAAAUCCCUGGGCUCAACCUGGGAAUUGCAGUCGAUACUGGCAAGCUCGAGUUCGGUAGAGGGUGACGGAAUUCCCGGUGUAGCGGUGAAAUGCGUAGAUAUCGGGAGGAACAUCGAUGGCGAAGGCAAUCACCUGGGCCUGAACUGACACUGUGACACGAAAGCGUGGGUAGCAAACAGGAUUAGAUACCCUGGUAGUCCACGCCGUAAACGAUGGGAACCUGACGUCGGUUUGCUCUGCGAAUCGGUGUCGAAGCUAACGCGCUAAGUUCCCCGCCUGGGGAGUACGGCCGCAAGGUUG
rnacentral:rRNA from 1 species